GUUUGGCCCUGGUGUGGGAUGGACUCCCCCGCCACAAUGGUUCGAUCCGGGCUUCCCCCACCAUAGUGGCUGGACCCGGAAGACCAAAUUGGCUCAAUUGAACUCAGCUGGCGGCCCCUAUUUAACAUGCGCCUCAUGUUCAUGAGUAGAGAUUUUCUUACCACUUGAGAUGGCCAUGGGAGAACUUAACGACCAGGCAUGGGACACUGAAAGGCGUUUGCGUGGAAAACACUUACCUGCUGUGAAGUGUAAUUGUAUCUAGCUGUGUGGAUACUAACCUGUGCUGUGAAGAGGUUCCUUCUGAACCUGUGCUUUGUCAAUGUGUUCCUUCUGAACCUGUGCUUUGUCAAUAUGUACCUCCUGAACCUGUGCUUUAAAUAUGGUCCUUGUGACCUGUGAAUAGUUGAUGUGUGCCUAGCAUGCUCAAUGAUAUGCCUAGUUCUCCCUAUUGUCUGGCACAUUGAGUUGAUUCUAUGUUUGUGUAUUGUGUGUGUGUGUGUGUAUAUACAUUUUUUGGGGUGGAUACAAAAGAAUCCCCAUGUAAAUAAAUACGAUAUUUUUAUAUGAAAGCCACCAUCUCCUGCACCCUUCUUCCCAACUACACCACCCAGUCCAGUCGCCACCUCCCAAAACAACGUGGGGUGACCGCCCGGUCCCUCACAGUGCUAUGACAAGACUACAGCAAACUAACUCGGAUUUCAACUUCACUGUGAGACAGGAUCCUGACUUUGGUUAUUUCCUUGAGAGUGUGAAUGGUGUGGCUGGAAAUUUGACUGCUCACACCUACUGGCAGAUUAUGUCAAACAGAAAUGGAGCCCUGACCCCUACACCUGUAGGUGAGUACAGACAUCCCCCUGUGCAGAACAUCUCAAUGUGACUGCAUGUUAUCAUGUGGUUUAAAUGUAUCCAUACCACACUUCUCAUUUCAAGCAACAUUAUGCAGGUUUAAAAAAAAAAAUUAUGACAUGUUUCUUUCUCAUAUCUUCCAGGAGUUGGCUGUUACAUUCCAAAGGCAAAUGAACACAUCAUCUUUAGAGUUCAGCAGCUGGUGAACACAAAUAGGGGAACACAGCAUCAAUGCAAUCACUAUGGCUUCAUACGUUUCUUGUGCAUCAUCUAUCUCUACGGCCCCUCUGUCUACCUCCACAAUGUAAUAGUUUCUCCUAAUAUGACUGAUUAGCUGUCUUCAAUCCUAAACAAAUCUGUAACUAGAUUUCUUAUACCCAUUCCCAGACAGUCGUAUCUACAGACAUUCAUAUGAUGAUUUGAUAUUACCACAUCAAAAAAAUAAUAUAUCAAAUAAAAUAUCAGUGUUGUAUACA
rnacentral:lncRNA from 1 species